GACGGGGGAUGCGAGCGUUAUCCGGAAUGAUUGGGCGUAAAGGGUCCGCAGGUGGCCCGGUCAGUCCGCUGUCAAAGCCUGGGGCUCAACCCUGGAGAGGCGGCGGAGACCACCGGGCUUGAGUCCGGUAGGGGCAGAGGGAAUUCCCGGUGGAGCGGUGAAAUGCGUAGAGAUCGGGAAGAACACCAGUGGCGAAAGCGCUCUACUGGGCCACAACUGACACUGAUGGACGAAAGCUAGGGGAGCGAAUGGG
rnacentral:rRNA from 1 species